rnacentral:rRNA from 1 species
GUAGUCUCGCACAGAUGCAUAUCAAUAAGCGGAGGAAAAGAAACUAACAAGGAUUCCCCUAGUAACGGCGAGUGAAGCGGGAAGAGCUCAAAUUUGAAAUCUUAAAGGGUUUCCCUUUACGAAUUGUAGUUUAAAGAAGUGUUUUCUGUUGAGGUUUUGGUAAAAGUUCUUUGGAAUAGGACAUCAUAGAGGGUGAGAAUCCCGUAUUUGACCUUUACUUUCAACUUUGUGAUACACUUUCAAAGAGUCGGAUUGUUUGGGAAUGCAGUCCAAAAUGGGUGGUAAAUUUCAUCUAAAGCUAAAUAUUGGCGAGAGACCGAUAGCGAACAAGCACCGUGAGGGAAAGAUGAAAAGAACUUUGAAAAGAGAGUUAAACAGUACGUGAAAUUGUCAAAAGGGAAGCGUUUGACACCAGUGUUGUUUUUCUGAAAAUCAAUUAAAGAACUGUUUAUGCUAAGUUGUUUAGACUUUAUCAGCUAUCUGUUUAGUUUUGAGCUUUUCUUUAAUGCACUUUUCAGUUAACAAGUCAACAUCAAUUUCUUUUGCUGUAAAAAAGCUUGAGGAAGGUGGCUUGAGAUUCGUCUUAAGUGUUUAUAGCCUCUUGCCUAUGCAGUCGGAGAGAUUGAGGUCUGCAGCGUAGAUCCUUCGGGGCUAAAUGCAUUUGUGCUAAGUUAUAGCAUUUUAUAGACAACUUGUUGACUAUGAUUUGUCUUGUAGCUUACUCGCUUAUGUUAUUUUACCUACGCUUAGGAUGUUGAUCUGUAGUGCGUGCGC